CUACGGAGGGUGCAAGCGUUAAUCGGAAUUACUGGGCGUAAAGCGUACGUAGGCGGUUAUUUAAGUCAGAUGUUAAAGCCCCGGGCUUAACUUGGGAACUGCAUUUGAAACUGGGUAACUAGAGUUUAGUAGAGGGGAGUGGAAUUUCAGGUGUAGCGGUGAAAUGCGUAGAGAUCUGAAGGAACACCAGUGGCGAAGGCGACUCCCUGGACUAAAACUGACGCUGAGGUACGAAAGCGUGGGUAGCAAACAGGAUUAGAAACCCUAGUAGUCC
rnacentral:rRNA from 1 species